GGGACAGUCACCAAGAAAAAAUGGAGAAGAAAAAGAAGAAGAAACCUGCAUAGGAAGAGAGAUGCAGGGUAUUACUUUUAUUCCUUUGACCAUGUACAUGUUUGGGAGUGAUGUUAAUGUGAUAACAGACCAACAGGAAGAGUAUCACAGGUCCCAGGACUGAAGUUGUGUGGGUGGAUAUAGUUUGGAAGGGGAAUUCUAAAAUUAACAUUUUCUCAUGGAAGAUGGUAUUAAUCAAAGUCACUUUUUAUCCCUUUCUGGUUUCUUCCCUCAACUUGACAUAUUUGCAUGAGUGGAGAGAAAGAGAAGAGGAGAACAACAUUAAGUUAAAAGGAAAAGUGUUAAAAAAUGAAAUCACUGCCAAGGAUGGUGAUGGAAGUUAUAAUAUAUUCUGUAUUGCUAUAUCCCCCUUUUUUUUCUGGAAAAGUGAAGAGAUUUUCUUCAUAUAGCUAAAUAUUUUGUAAUGAUACUUUUACAUAAGGAAUCCACUAAAGUCUUUGCAGGCAAGACUUUCUAUAUAAAGCAUAGGUAAUUAUAGCUUCAGGUUACGUAUGAGCAUCUAAUGGCCCAAUUAGUCCUUCAGAGAAGUCAGUUUUAUUGUUCCUUUGUUUUCUCUGCAGUGUUUCUAAUUGGAAUGGAGCUUCCAUUUUUAGAGAAUUUUCUUAGUACUUGUGACUGAUUCUACUAAAAAAACUAAGAAGUUUUGAAUCUAAUAUAUAUUAGGUAACAAAUAUUAGUGGUGUAUAUAAAUCCUCAUACACAAAGAAUAGCUAAAGCCCGGUGAGUACAGAAGACAUCCUCCUUGACUGCGCUUUAUUUAGUCAGGCCCCAUUAACUCCUCUUCUUCAUUAGCCAGCAUUCCUACUGGACCUGCAGAACUGGUUUAGUUUAGCAAGAGUUCUUGCCAAGUCCGUUUAACCAGAAUCUCUGCCAGGGAUAACUGAUCACUCUCCAUAUCUUAUCACAUUUCUCAUCCUCCACCACCCACCU
rnacentral:lncRNA from 1 species